AGCAGCCGCGGUAAUUCCAGCUCCAAUAGCGUAUAUUAAAGUUGUUGCAGUUAAAAAGCUCGUAGUUGAAUUUCGAGACCGGCUUACUGGUCGUGCUAUUGUACGUACUGGUAUAAUCGGUUUCUCCUUUCUGACGAACUAUAAUGCCAUUAAUUUGGUGUUAUAGGGAAUCAGGACUGUUACUUUGAAAAAAUUUAGAGUGUUUAAAGCAGGCUCACGCUUGAAUACAUUAGCAUGGAAUAACGGAAUAGGACGUUUGAUUCUAUUUUGUUGGUUUCUAGGAUCGACGUAAUGAUUAAUAGGGAUAGUUGGGGGCAUUAGUAUUCAAUUGUCAGAGGUGAAAUUCUUGGAUUUAUUGAAGACUAACUACUGCGAAAGCAUUUGCCAAGGAUGUUUUCAUUAAUCAAGAACGAAAGUUAGGGGAUCGAAGACGAUCAGAUACCGUCGUAGUCUUAACCAUAAACUAUGCCGACUAGGGAUCGGAUGAUGUUAAUUUUUUUAAUGACUCAUUCGGCGCCUU
rnacentral:rRNA from 1 species